GUCUGCAGCCAUACCACCCUGAACGCAGCGAGUCUCAUCUGAUCUGGGAGGCUUAGCAGGGUCAGGCCUCAGUAGUACCUGGAAGGAAAAUGAAGCACAUAGGAUG
rnacentral:rRNA from 1 species